rnacentral:rRNA from 1 species
CGCAUCGAUGAAGAACGCAAGGAAAUGCGAUUAGUAAUGUGAAAUUGCAGAAUUCAGUGAAUCAUCGAAUCUUUGAAAGCACCUUGCGCUCCUUGUUCCGGGGAGCAUGCCUGUUUGAGUGUCAUGAAAUCUUCAACUUGCAAGCUCUUUGCGAG